UACGUAGGGUGCGAGCGUUGUCCGGAAUUAUUGGGCGUAAAGAGCUCGUAGGCGGUUUGUCACGUCUGCUGUGAAAUCCCGAGGCUCAACCUCGGGCCUGCAGUGGGUACGGGCAGACUGGAGUGCGGUAGGGGAGAAUGGAAUUCCUGGUGUAGCGGUGGAAUGCGCAGAUAUCAGGAGGAACACCGAUGGCGAAGGCAGUUCUCGGGGCCGUAACUGACGCUGAGGAGCGAAAGCGUGGGGAGCGAACAGG
rnacentral:rRNA from 1 species